rnacentral:tRNA from 1 species
UCCUGGUGGCUCAGACAGUAAAGCAUCUGCCUGUAAUGCAGGAGACCUGGGUUCUAUCCCUGGGUCGGGAA